UCCAUCUAUGAACCAGGAAUUGGCCAUCACCAGACCCAAACCCUCUGGCAUCCUGAUCUUGGUCUUUCAGCCUCCAGAACUAUCAAUAGCAAACUGGUAACAGACGUCUACGAGGCACUGAAUGUCGGAGCGACUGCUGACAAAUCAACAUCUCCAGCUUAAUGACCUGCCAGAUUAAACACUGCUAAGAAUCUGAUGUUUUCUGGCAUAUUGGAUCUUGAAAACCAAAGCGAAAGAUUUUCUUUGAACCCCGCAGAGAGCACACAGCCGAUGGAAUAUACCAAUAAACCAUUUGCAUAAAUAUUUUGUUCAAACCUG